rnacentral:lncRNA from 1 species
CCCUUUCUUUACUGAUUUUCCUUUAUAAUAAUCACAAAUUUAGGACUCGGUGGAUGUAUAGUAACAUAUUUUUGCACUAAGACCCAUUUUACCCUGACUUAGCAAUUAGCUCAUCUUCUCGAACUAAAGCCCAAUAGAAUGACCCUCUCCACCAUCACUAAAGGCAACACAGAGGGCCAACCCUGCACACACUUCAAAUCAUCAUGCAUUUGAGUCAAUCAUGCAUUUUGUUUCACAUGUCCAUAUUCAUAUCAAAUAGCAAACAAAUCAUAUUUCAAAUUCAUGCAUCGAGAUAAUUCAAAAUCUUAAAUUAAUUGUCUAGAAAAUCUACUUAGAAAUGAAUGAGAAAAUAUUAAAGAAAUCCCUUACCAAAAUAUUUAAGCUUCUUCGAGAUUUGUUUGUUUUUUGAAGGAGAAAAAAGGUUUUUUGGUAGAGUUCUUGUGUUAAGUAGCUUUUCUGAAAUUUAAGUGAAUAAAGAGCUUAAGGGUGAGCUUUUCUGAAGUUGUAGUGUGAAAAAAAAAACCAAUGAGGAAAGAAGCAGAAUUACCAUGUGAAGAUCGAAGGUCUUUCGGUCUCUUCCCAAGACUCUCUCUCUCUCUUCAUAGCUUUCUCUAAACUCUCUCUCAAAACUCUUGGUCAAGUGAAGAAGAUGAGAAAAUGGAAGGAAUGGUUGAAAAUAAUGAACGGAGAGGGUUUUAAAUAGAGCUGACGGAGGAGUACAGUCGAUAAAGGUGAUUGAUGCGACGACUACAGGCAAUGGGACAGGUGGCUGCAGCGACCCGACAGGUAACCUGUGUGGGCAGCCGACGAAAU